rnacentral:sRNA from 1 species
GCUGGGCACGGUGGUGCACUCCUGUAAUCCCAGCAGCUUGGGAGGCUGAGGCAGGAGGAUUGCAAGUGCAAAGCCAGCCUCAG